rnacentral:misc_RNA from 1 species
AGAUAAACUAAAAUACAAUAAGAAAUCCUAAAUAAAAUAGGAAAAAAUCUAAAUUCUAGAUAAAGUAUUUUACAUUAAUAAGGCCCAAAUAAAAUAGAAAACUUCCUAAUUAAUUUUAAUCUAAUUUCUAUAGCUGUUAGAAGUCUACACAAGAUGUCCUAGGUGAAUUAGGACUACUGGUGAUUAAAAUUAAUUAAAAAAAAACAUUUUUGCCUUGUUGUCAAGAAAAUUUCAUAGCUGGGCAUGGGAUUUGCUGCCCAAAAAUCAAUUUUGCCCAAACUUGCUAAAAAUUGUUAUUUUCCCUCACUUUCACACCAGCAUGCUUCCAUUG